UCCAGACUCCUACGGGAGGCAGCAGUGGGGGAUAUUGCACAAUGGGGGAAACCCUGAUGCAGCGACGCCGCGUGGGCGAAGAAGUAUUUCGGUAUGUAAAGCCCUAUCAGCAGGGAAGAAGAAAUGACGGUACCUGAGUAAGAAGCACCGGCUAAAUACGUGCCAGCAGCCGCGGUAAUACGUAGGGGGCAAGCGUUAUCCGGAUUUACUGGGUGUAAAGGGAGCGUAGACGGCGGUGCAAGCCAGAUGUGAAAGCCCGGGGCUCAACCCCGGGACUGCAUUUGGAACUGUGCUGCUAGAGUGUCGGAGAGGCAGGCGGAAUUCCUAGUGUAGCGGUGAAAUGCGUAGAUAUUAGGAGGAACACCAGUGGCGAAGGCGGCCUGCUGGACGAUGACUGACGUUGAGGCUCGAAAGCGUGGGGAGCAAACAGGAUUAGAUACCCCGGUA
rnacentral:rRNA from 1 species